rnacentral:rRNA from 1 species
UACGUAGGGGGCAAGCGUUGUCCGGAUUUAUUGGGCGUAAAGCGCGCGUAGGCGGUUCGGUAAGUCGGGUGUGAAAAUCCGGGGCUCAACCCCGGACCUGCAUUCGAUACUGCCGGGCUGGAGGCAGGUAGGGGAGAGUGGAAUUCCUGGUGUAGCGGUGAAAUGCGCAGAUAUCGGGAGGAACACCGGUGGCGAAGGCGGGUCUCUGGGCCGAUACUGACGCUGAGGAGCGAAAGCGUGGGGAGCGAACAGG